CACGUAGGGUGCGAGCGUUGUCCGGAAUUAUUGGGCGUAAAGAGCUCGUAGGCGGUGUGUCGCGUCGGCCGUGAAAACCUGCAGCUUAACUGUGGGCGUGCGGUCGAUACGGGCAUCACUGGAGUUCGGCAGGGGAGACUGGAAUUCCUGGUGUAGCGGUGAAAUGCGCAGAUAUCAGGAAGAACACCUAUGGCGAAGGCAGCUCUCUGGGACGGUACUGACGCUGAGACGCGAAAAGCGUGGGGGAGCGAACAGG
rnacentral:rRNA from 1 species